GCACCUAACGUACGGUCGAGAGUUUUGAAACUGGACUCUUUGACCAAUGAAAACACGAAUGAUUCCAAGCAUGUUGACGACGAUAAAAGCUCUAGCGAGGACGAGGCUCUAACACAAAAACAAUCCUUUCAUAACACGAAGUCUACUGAGGAUAUGUUCAAAUGAAAUAUCGAUGAAUCGCAUAUACAGUUUGGAAUCUCGUUGGCUCACGUGGAGGAGUAAUCUGGUUUCGAAAGUGAAGAGGAAGCAAUCACCACAAGAGAUUUGCAAGAGGAUUCGAAGGGUAUACUGCAAAUUUUGUAUAUACAGAUGGAGUAUUGUGAGAAGAGUAUUCUAAGGAAUGCCAUUGACAAGGGAUAGUAAAAGGACCAACAGAGAAUGAGGCAGAUUCUCCGUGAGAUUGUAGAGCAAUAAGUUCACGUUCAUUCAUAGGUGUUUUCUUUAAAAAGUCAACUAUUUUUAAGGAAAAAGAGUUUCGUUUUGGAUCCAUUGAAAAGAUGGUUUUGGACUUGUAACUUCAAAGGUACGUAAUAAUAAGACGGCUGUCACUAUACCAUUAAAAGAAAUUUCUUUAAAUCCGAAAAGUGUGCUGUUCAAUCGUAAAGUUACUCGA